rfam:Sphingopyxis alaskensis RB2256, complete genome.
GGUGCGGGCCGGGCCCCUCUGGCGUCGGCGGGAUUUACCCGCUGCGUGAUGUCGGACCGCAUCG